rnacentral:rRNA from 1 species
GACGUAGGAUGCAAGCGUUGUCCGGAAUUAUUGGGCGUAAAGCGUACGUAGGCGGUUUUCUAAGUCUGGGGUUAAAGCCCGAGGCUCAACCUCGGGAGUGCCCUGGAAACUGGAAGGCUGGAGGACGGCAGAGGAAAGUGGAAUUCCCAGUGUAGCGGUGAAAUGCGUAGAUAUUGGGAGGAACACCAGUGGCGAAAGCGACUUUCUGGGCCGUUCCUGACGCUGAGGUACGAAAGCUAGGGGAGCAAACGGG